UUUAGAGUUUGAUUCCAUGGCUCAGAUUGAACGCUGGCGGCAGGCCUAACACAUGCAAGUCGAGCGGUAGCAGGUCCUUCGGGAUGCUGACGAGCGGCGGACGGGUGAGUAAUGCAUAGGAAUCUGCCCGAUAGUGGGGGAUAACCUGGGGAAACCCAGGCUAAUACCGCAUACGUCCUACGGGAGAAAGGGGGCUCCGGCUCCCGCUAUUGGAUGAGCCUAUGUCGGAUUAGCUAGUUGGUGAGGUAAUGGCUCACCAAGGCAACGAUCCGUAGCUGGUCUGAGAGGAUGAUCAGCCACAUCGGGACUGAGACACGGCCCGAACUCCUACGGGAGGCAGCAGUGGGGAAUAUUGGACAAUGGGGGCAACCCUGAUCCAGCCAUGCCGCGUGUGUGAAGAAGGCCCUCGGGUUGUAAAGCACUUUCAGCGAGGAAGAACGCCUGUCGGUUAAUACCCGGCAGGAAAGACAACACUCGCAGAAGAAGCACCGGCAA
rnacentral:rRNA from 1 species